rnacentral:rRNA from 1 species
UACGUAGGGGGCAAGCGUUAUCCGGACUUACUGGGUGUAAAGGGAGCGUAGACGGCUUUGCAAGCCAGAUGUGAAAGCCCGGGGCUCAACCCCGGGACUGCAUUUGGAACUGUAUGGCUGGAGUGUCGGAGAGGCAGGCGGAAUUCCUAGUGUAGCGGUGAAAUGCGUAGAUAUUAGGAGGAACACCAGUGGCGAAGGCGGCCUGCUGGACGAUGACUGACGUUGAGGCUCGAAAGCGUGGGGAGCAAACAGG